UACGUAGGGUGCAAGCGUUAAUCGGAAUUACUGGGCGUAAAGCGUGCGCAGGCGGUUAUGCAAGACAGAUGUGAAAUCCCCGGGCUCAACCUGGGAACUGCAUUUGUGACUGCAUAGCUAGAGUGCGGCAGAGGGAGAUGGAAUUCCGCGUGUAGCAGUGAAAUGCGUAGAGAUGCGGAGGAACACCGAUGGCGAAGGCAGCCCCCUGGGCCAACACUGACGCUCAGGCACGAAAGCGUGGGGAGCAAACAGG
rnacentral:rRNA from 1 species